AACGAACGCUGGCGGCAUGCCUAACACAUGCAAGUCGAACGAGACCUUCGGGUCUAGUGGCGCACGGGUGCGUAACGCGUGGGAACCUGCCCUUAUGUUCGGAAUAACUCUCCGAAAGGGGUGCUAAUACCGGAUAAUGUCUUCGGACCAAAGAUUUAUCGCCUUUGGAUGGGCCCGCGUUGGAUUAGCUAGUUGGUAGGGUAAAAGCCUACCAAGGCGACGAUCCAUAGCUGGUCUGAGAGGAUGCUCAGCCACACUGGGACUGAGACACGGCCCAGACUCCUACGGGAAGCAGCAGUGGGGAAUAUUGGACAAUGGGCGAAAGCCUGAUCCAGCAAUGCCGCGUGAGUGAUGAAGGCCUUAGGGUUGUAAAGCUCUUUUACCCGGGAUGAUAAUGACAGUACCGGGAGAAUAAGCUCCGGCUAACUCCGUG
rnacentral:rRNA from 1 species